ACGCUCGACACCUACGGGAGGCUGCAGUAGGGAAUCUUCCACAAUGGACGCAAGUCUGAUGGAGCAACGCCGCGUGAGUGAAGAAGGUUUUCGGAUCGUAAAGCUCUGUUGUUGGUGAAGAAGGAUAGAGGUAGUAACUGGCCUUUAUUUGACGGUAAUCAACCAGAAAGUCACGGCUAACUACGUGCCAGCAGCCGCGGUAAUCUGAGCGGGCUGGCAAGGC
rnacentral:rRNA from 1 species